GCUAUAUAAAUGUGUAAGUCGCUUUGGAUAAGAGCGUCUGCUAAAUGACGUAAA
rfam:Salmo salar isolate Sally breed double haploid chromosome ssa10, whole genome shotgun sequence.